rnacentral:rRNA from 1 species
UACGUAGGUGGCGAGCGUUGUCCGGAUUUACUGGGCGUAAAGGGCGCGUAGGCGGUCAGCACAAGUCAGUUGUGAAAUCUCCGGGCUUAACUCGGAAAGGUCAACUGAUACUGUGCGACUAGAGUGCAGAAGGGGCAACUGGAAUUCUCGGUGUAGCGGUGAAAUGCGUAGAUAUCGAGAGGAACACCUGCGGCGAAGGCGGGUUGCUGGGCUGACACUGACGCUGAGGCGCGAAAGCCAGGAGAGCGAACGGG